AUGAAAUCACUACCUUGUUUUGAUAGACAAGUCUUGAAAGACCCAAAAGGACUUGAAAAUGUUCUAUUAAAAGGCUAUUUUGAACAGAGGGAAACAUGGAAGAAUAGAUUCCUUGUUCCAAUUGAGAUGAUGAUGCAUUCAUCGAAAGAUAUGUCUCUUGCUGAAAGUGGAGACAAAGAUAGUGGACUUGAAGUUGGGUUGAUAUUUAAAAUAGAGGAAUUGAAACAUUUAUAUUCUUUCAUUGAACAAGGGCUCGAAGCUUUCAAAUUCUAA
rnacentral:lncRNA from 1 species